GGCGAAGCGUGUAUCCGGAGAUUGCCGAGGCGGGAAGGCGAGUGUCCGGAGAUUGCCGAGGCGAGGGGCGUCUGCAGGCGGCUGACGGCGAACGUUCUCGCGCGUGGUUUGAAUGCCGCAACCGCGCUGUGAGUCAGUUGGAGGGAGAGGUCGCCUGAAGUGAGUACCUGUGACGAGGGGAGAAUGUCAGAAAUAAGAUCAUAAUUUUUCGGAAGAAGUGACAAACAGUUUCCAUCAACCUGUUAAAGUGAUGAUGAAACAUGUGAAAUUCCUUUUGGCAAUGCAGCUACUGUCAAUUGCAGUAGAUGGAUGCUGGACCCCACCAGAGACAGAAGGCAGUUGAAGAGUUUGAUUACACCAUAAAUAGGUGUCAUAAAUGUUUUAUUUUGCCAGUCUUUGUCUCUUUCAGAGAAAGUUCACUCCCCCAUAACUUUCUCCCCACCCUUGCACAUACUUGUUUUGUGAAAUUUGUCAGCAAUAGUUUCAUCAUUUUAGGCAAGUGCUGUGCAAUAAUGCUUUCAUAUUGAUGUUGGUUGGAAGUGAUACAUCUUUCUCGGAUUUCUCUAGCUUUCAAACUAUUAUCACGACUGAAGUGCAUCUUGCAAUUGAUAAGAUUUAAUUUCAAAUUUUCUUCAAAAAAAUCCUUCAAAAAGAAGUGCAAGUUUGAGAUAUCUAAAUAUUAAAGUUUCCAUAAAUAUCUACAAAAUCUUUCCCCAUAAAAUCCCAAGAGUGCCAAUUAACUCUAACUUCAUGUCCACUAAAGAAUUCCAUGAGUGAAUAAUAACACUUGAGUCAACUUCCCUCUGCCAAUGGUUUGAAGCUUUGAUGCAUUUGAAAGCUGUGAAUUUGUUCAUUAAUAAUAGAACAAAAAUAGUCAAUCACAUAUUAGCUGCCUUUUCUGAGAUUGACAUGUUCUAAGUACCCUGACAAAUGCUUUGUAAUUUCAUCUAAGACCAAAGCCCCUUAAUGACCAUAUGCAUGCCUCUGUAUCUGUCUCUAUUUUUCUUCUCUGCCCUCUAUCUCCCCCCCCCCCCC